rnacentral:rRNA from 1 species
GUAGCAAUAUUGUCUCAGUGGCGAACGGGUGAGUAACGCGUUGGUGACCUGCCCCGAAGAGGGGGAUAACAGUCCGAAAGGAUUGCUAAUACCCCAUGUGGUCAAGAGGAUUAGAUGCCUUAUGACUAAACGGAGAAAUUCGCUUCGGGAGGGGCCUGCGUCCCAUCAGCUAGUUGGUAGGGUAAUAGCCUACCAAGGCGAUGACGGGUAGGGGACCUGAGAGGGUGGCCCCCCACAAUGGAACUGAAACACGGUCCAUACACCUACGGGUGGCAGCAGUAGGGAAUAUUGGUAAUCUGGGAAACCGGGAACCAGCAACGCCGCGUGCGCGAUGAAGGCCUUCGGGUUGUAAAGCGCUUUUUGAGAGGAUGAGGAAGGACAGUACUCUUAGAAUAAGCCUCGGCUAACUACGUGCCAGCAGCCGCGGUAAAACGUAGGAGGCGAGCGUUAUCCGGAUUUACUGGGCGUAAAGCGCGUGUAGGCGGUUUGAUAAGUUGGAUGUGAAAGCUCCUGGCUUAACUGGGAGAGGUCGUUCAAAACUAUCAGACUUGAGAGUGGUAGAGGGAGGUGGAAUUCCGCAUGUAGUGGUGAAAUGCGUAGAUAUGCGGAGGAACACCAGUGGCGAAAGCGGCCUCCUGGCCCAUUUCUGACGCUCAGACACGAAAGCUAAGGUAGCAAACGGGAUUAGAGACCCCGGUAGUCUUAGCUGUAAACGAUGUGAACUUAGUGUCGGUGGGGUUAAAUCCAUCGGUACUGAAGCUAACGCGAUAAGUUCACCGCCUGAGGACUACGGCCGCAAGGUUAAAACUCAAAGGAAUUGACGGGGCCCCGCACAAGCAGCGGAGCGGUGUGGUUUAAUUCGAUGU